rnacentral:rRNA from 1 species
AAUCUUCCACAAUGGGCGACAGCCUGAUGGAGCAACGCCGCGUGAGUGAAGGAGGUUUUCGUAUCGUAAAACUCUGUUGUAAGGGAAGAACAAGUUCAGUAGUAACUGGCUGUACCUUGACGGUACCUUGUUAGAACGCCACGGCUAACUACGUGCCAGUAGCCGCGGUAAUCCGUAGGUGGCAAGCGUUGUCCGGCAUUUUGGGGGUGAAAGCGCGCGCAGGGGGUCCUUUAAGUCUGAUGUGAAAGCCCACGGCUCAACCGUGGAGGGUCAUUGGAAACUGGGGGACUUAAAUGCAGAAAAGGAAAGUGGAAUUCCAAGUGUAGCGGUGAAAUGCGUAGAGAUUUGGAGGAACAACAGUGGCGAAGGCGACUUUCUGGUCUGUAACUGACGCUGAGGCGCGAAAGCGUGGGGAGCAAACA